CAGCAGCCACGGUAAUACGUAGGUCCCGAGCGUUGUCCGGAAUUAUUGGGCGUAAAGCGCGCGCAGGUGGUUUAAUAAGUCUGAUGUGAAAGCCCACGGCUCAACCGUGGAGGGUCAUUGGAAACUGUUAAACUUGAGUGCAGGAGAGAAAAGUGGAAUUCCAUGUGUAGCGGUGAAAUGCGUAGAUAUAUGGAGGAACACCGGUGGCGAAAGCGGCUCUCUGGUCUGUCACUGACGCUGAGGCUCGAAAGCGUGGGUAGCGAACAGGAUUAGAUACCCGAGUAGUCCCUGUCUCUUAUAC
rnacentral:rRNA from 1 species